rnacentral:rRNA from 1 species
ACGGGGCCCGCACAAGCGGUGGAGUAUGUGGUUUAAUUCGAUGCAACGCGAAGAACCUUACCUGGUCUUGACAUCCCGGAGACCCUUAGGAAACUAGGGGGUGCUUCCAUCUGGAAGAAUCUGGAGACAGGUGCUGCAUGGCUGUCGUCAGCUCGUGUCGUGAGAUGUUGGGUUAAGUCCCGCAACGAGCGCAACCCUUGCCUUUAGUUGCCAGCAGUUCGGCUGGGCACUCUAAAGGGACUGCCGGUGUUAAACCGGAGGAAGGUGGGGAUGACGUCAAGUCCUCAUGGCCUUUAUGACCAGGGCUACACACGUACUACAAUGGCCGAUACAAAGGGCAGCGACAUCGCGAGGUGAAGCCAAUCCCAUAAAAUCGGUCUCAGUCCGGAUUGGAGUCUGCAACUCGACUCCAUGAAGUUGGAAUCGCUAGUAAUCGCGCAUCAGCCAUGGCGCGGUGAAUACGUUCCCGGGCCUU